rnacentral:rRNA from 1 species
UACGUAGGGGGCAAGCGUUGUCCGGAUUUAUUGGGCGUAAAGAGCGUGUAGGCGGCCAGACAGGUCCGUUGUGAAAACUCGAGGCUCAACCUCGAGACGCCGAUGGAAACCGUCUGGCUAGAGUCCGGAAGAGGAGAGUGGAAUUCCUGGUGUAGCGGUGAAAUGCGCAGAUAUCAGGAAGAACACCCGUGGCUAAGGCGGCUCUCUAGUACGGUACUGACGCUGAGACGCGAAAGCGUGGGGAGCGAAACAGGG